rnacentral:rRNA from 1 species
AGAGUUUGAUCCUGGCUCAGGAUGAACGCUGGCGGCGUGCUUAACACAUGCAAGUCGAACGAAGCGCUUAAAUGGAUUUCUUCGGAUUGAAGUUUUUGUGACUGAGUGGCGGACGGGUGAGUAACGCGUGGGUAACCUGCCUCAUACAGGGGGAUAACAGUUAGAAAUGACUGCUAAUACCGCAUAAGCGCACAGUGCUGCAUGGCACAGUGUGAAAAACUCCAGUGGUAUGAGAUGGACCCGCGUCUGAUUAGCUAGUUGGUGGGGUAACGGCCUACCAAGGCGACGAUCAGUAGCCGGCCUGAGAGGGUGAACGGCCACAUUGGGACUGAGACACGGCCCAAACUCCUACGGGAGGCAGCAGUGGGGAAUAUUGCACAAUGGGGGAAACCCUGAUGCAGCGACGCCGCGUGAGCGAAGAAGUAUUUCGGUAUGUAAACUUCUAUCAGCAGGGAAGAUAGUGACGGUACCUGACUAAGAAGCCCCGGCUAACUACGUGCCAGCAGCCGCGGUAAUACGUAGGGGGCAAGCGCUAUCCGGAUUUACUGGGUGUAAAGGGAGCGUAGACGGUGUGGCAAGUCUGAUGUGAAAGGCAUGGGCUCAACCUGUGGACCGCAUUGGAAACUGUCAUACUUGAGUGCCGGAGGGGUAAGCGGAAUUCCUAGUGUAGCGGUGAAAUGCGUAGAUAUUAGGAGGAACACCAGUGGCGAAGGCGGCUUACUGGACGGUAACUGACGUUGAGGCUCGAAAGCGUGGGGAGCAAACAGGAUUAGAUACCCUGGUAGUCCACGCUGUAAACGAUGGAUACUAGGUGUGGGGGGUCUGACCCCCUCCGUGCCGCAGUUAACACAAUAAGUAUCCCACCUGGGGAGUACGAUCGCAAGGUUGAAACUCAAAGGAAUUGACGGGGGCCCGCACAAGCGGUGGAGUAUGUGGUUUAAUUCGAAGCAACGCGAAGAACCUUACCAGGGCUUGACAUCCCGAGGUCCGGUCUAGAGAUAGACCUUUCUCUUCGGAGACCUCGGUGACAGGUGGUGCAUGGUUGUCGUCAGCUCGUGUCGUGAGAUGUUGGGUUAAGUCCCGCAACGAGCGCAACCCUUAUGGUCAGUUACUACGUAAGAGGACUCUGGCCAGACUGCCGUUGACAAAACGGAGGAAGGUGGGGAUGACGUCAAAUCAUCAUGCCCUUUAUGACUUGGGCUACACACGUACUACAAUGGCGUUAAACAAAGAGAAGCAAGACCGCGAGGUGGAGCAAAACUCAGAAACAACGUCCCAGUUCGGACUGCAGGCUGCAACUCGCCUGCACGAAGUCGGAAUUGCUAGUAAUCGUGGAUCAGCAUGCCACGGUGAAUACGUUCCCGGGCCUUGCACACACCGCCCGUCA